rnacentral:snRNA from 1 species
GUGCUCAAGUUUGGCAGCACACACCCUAAAACUGGAACAAUACAGAUUAUCUUGCCCCUGUGCAAUGAUGACAUGCAGAUUCAUGAAGCGUUCCAUUUUUUU